AUGGAGAAGGAACGCAUGGAGCCGGAGACUAUUACGUCUGUGCAUGUGAUGAUAGAUUAUCUCUGGGGUCUAGAUAUUAAAAAGCGGCUACAUGUGCUCACCUUUUGGUGGUUGUGGUGGUUAAAUGGGAACAAACUCAAAGAAGGAAAAAUGCCUCUUGCGGCUGCAGAAGUGGCUAGAUGGACCAGGAGCAAUGUUCUCGAAUAUCUGCACAUCUUCGGGGAAGCAGCUGACAAGGCAACCCCAGAGAGAUGGCGACCUUCGGUGGAGUCUGAUUAUAAGAUAAAUGUGGACGGCUCUUUUGUUCCUGGUCAGCACCACGCCGGGUGGGGAGUCGCAGUAAGAUCAAAAGAGCGCAUCCUGCUAUGUGCUCGGGCAGGGAGGAGUGACAACGUAAGCGAUGCUUUUGUUGCUGAAGCCGUAGCUAUGUCCCACGCGAUCAAUAGGGCUGUCGACCUUGGUCUGGUACAAGUAGAGCUUGAGACGGACUCGCAACUACUGGCUGAGGCGUUGGACUUGCGCAAGGUGGAUUCUUUGGCGUACGCAGCUGUGAUCAAGGACAUGAAAUACCAAUUGAAGCUCUGA
rnacentral:rRNA from 1 species